UACGUAGGGUGCGAGCGUUAAUCGGAAUUACUGGGCGUAAAGCGUGCGCAGGCGGUUUUGUAAGCCAGAUGUGAAAGCCCCGGGCUCAACCUGGGAACUGCAUUCGAGACUGCAUUGCUAGAGUAUGGGAGAGGGAAGUGGAAUUUCCGGUGUAGCGGUGAAAUGCGUAGAUAUCGGAAGGAACAUCAGUGGCGAAAGCGACUUCCUGGACCAAUACUGACGCUCAUGUGCGAAAGCGUGGGGAGCAAACAGG
rnacentral:rRNA from 1 species